rnacentral:rRNA from 1 species
GCUUGUCUCAAAGAUUAAGCCAUGCAAAGGAACGUUCAACCCCAUUUGGGGAAGACGCUGGCCGGCUCAUUAAAUCAGUCAUAGUUCAUUCGACAGAUCACUCUACAUGGAUAACCGUAGUAACUCUAGAGCUAAUACAUGCGCAAAUUCCCGACUGUCGCAAGGCGGAAAGGAUGUAUUUAUUAGAUCCAACCAGCCCGGUUCGCCGGAGUCCCUGGUGAGUCAUAAUAACUGAGCGAAUCGCAUGGCCUUGUGCCGGCGAUGGUUCAUUCAAGUUUCUGCCCUAUCAGCUUUCGAUGGUAGGGUAUUGGCCUACCAUGGCGUUAACGGGUAACGGAGAAUUAGGGUUCGAUUCCGGAGAGGGAGCCUGAGAAACGGCUACCACAUCCAAGGAAGGCAGCAGG